UAAGGCUUAUGGUAAACAGAACAAGGUACGUUUAAGUUAACUCAGUUUUGAGAGAUUUCAGUUACGAUUCAUUUACGCAUUUCUCUGAGCACUGAGCUAGUGGUGUUCUGCGAUGGGAAGUGUCACGGUGUUUUCUGCCAUAGCUGACUUGAGCGUUGGAGCGCAAACAGCCGCGAGGGCGCCCAUUUGUCUCUCUGUUUCAG
rnacentral:lncRNA from 1 species